rnacentral:rRNA from 1 species
AUGCCGCUCGGCAAUGAAGACGCAUCGACUUCGACUGUAAUUCUGGGGAGCAGUUGUUUCACUUGGUUUGCAAGUUCCCAUUCGACGAAACACCCAUGGCAAUUCCCUGCUUCAGCCAUUGCCAGUAUUCAGGCCCUAUUUCACAUGAAUACUUUUACUGCAUCUGUGACUAUACUGAAGAUUUAUUCACAGAUGUUUCAAGAUUGGAUUGCUCCAUUGCCUGGCAGUAAGUCAGCUAGUUCUUGUCACUUUGAGCAGUUCUGGGAUCCUAGCACCGGCAACAACACCUUGUCACUUUGGAUUUCUGACUCAUUGGAAGAGAUUGCUCACUGUCGGGAAAUGUUGAGUGGUGGCCUAAAUUCAGUGGAUUCCAUGGCGUUCUCUUAUGACUACAAGCAAGUUCCUUUUCAAGCAGGGAGGGGUGUCAUCGUAGUCAUUGCCGUCUUCACUCAAGGCUCCGUCGACCACGAAUACUACUCUUGCUUCGACCACGACAGCAUUGGCACCGUCUACGCCAUCGGCACCUUCUUCGAUCGGGUCUCCACAGGUCGCGACUUCUAUGCCCAACUCGCUGAAGUCUACCCCAACUUCGGCUACCACCACAACCCCGACCAAGUCGAAGAGCAUCAGUUGCAAUGGGAUCCGGGUGGCUCUCAGAGGCAUCGGCUUGGGGUCAAGCCGAGUCUCAAGGAGGGAGGGAUGUUAGGAGCCCAUGUAGCCCAUACGCAUACUUGGUGGGCUUCACAUGGGCCAGGCCUGGCUACCGCUACUGGCUACAAGUACACGAAGGGAGAGCAGCAACCGAUGAUCCAAGUUGGAUCAGGCAAACGACAACGGCGGCUCCUGUCUUCCCCUACCUCCUGUUCUUCUCCUUCCUCCCUCCUCAGUUCCCUUGUACUCGAGCUUGAUUCUCUGUAA